GACGGAUGCUACUCCGCCGGGUUGGGUCUGGCCCAACACACGGCUCUCAGCGCUCUGCAUCAUGGCGGCGUCUUCUGGCGCAAUGGGCUUCUGUGCGAGGUCACCGGAAACGGGUAAAACGUCGCCGUAUUUAAAUUGUGUGUAUGUUUGCUUUGUUUGUGCUGUUUAGGAUAGCUUGCUGCCUGUGCAAGUUAGAUAGAAACCUCAACCUAGGACCAUGGUGGAUUUAUAUGAUAACUAUUAGGCUCGAGUCAGACUCCCUUCUAGUUUGUCAUUUCCCCGUCUCUGAUUAGGUUAGAAGUUUCUCCCCUGUUAAGGGGAACUACGUUGCCCUGAUCCUCAUACCAGAUGAGGUACGUAGGCAGGAGGUCGUACGAGAUCUCUCCGGGCACCCUUUUUCUUUUUGUGUGUGUUUGCUUGACAGAUGCCCUGAUCCUCAUACCAGAUGAGGUACGUAGGCAGGAGGUCGUACGAGAUCUCUCCGGGCACCCUUUUUCUUUUUGUGUGUGUUUGCUUGACAGUUAUUAGGCUCGAGUUCCAGACUCCCUAUUAACUCGUCUGUUGGUUAACCUUCGGGUGUGUGUUAGGAGACGGAUGUAAGACCAGCGAUUGGCAGUCCGUAUCCUAUUCGUGGUUUGUUUGUGUGGAGUCUGACGUAAGUCCAGCGAUUGACAGUUGGUUUCCUGUGUUUGUUUGUUGGUUCGGAGUCUGAUGUAAGUCCAGCGAUUGGCAUUCGGUUUCCAUGCUUGCCUGUUUGUGUGGAGUCUGACGUAAGUCCAGCGAUUGGCAGUCGGUUUCCAGUGUGGGUUUUGUUUGGCGUGCGUGAGCCGAACUACGGUAGCUCUAAUUCUCAUUCCCGAUGAGAUACGUAGGCAUAGGAUGCGAUAUCCUAGCGAGCCCGUUCCCCUCUUCUUCCAUCUGUGUUGUUUCCAGUGUGUGCGUGCAUUCUUUUGAGCGGUGUUUAGCAACCUUUCUUCUAUUCUUUUGAGUGUGGAUCCCGUCGAGUACGACAGAUGCGUAGGGGUGCCAAUACCUUCCCUUCGCAUAACCGACUCCCGAUCCCAUCUCUCUCUGGUCGCGAGACCAUGUCUUUUCCAGGUUUACUUCGAGCGUUUCCUUUCCCUCUUUUGGGAUAAAUAACGAGACCAUGUCUUUUCCAGGUUUACUUCGAGCGUUUCCUUUCCCUCUUUUGGGAUAAAUAACGCACGGUGGCGGCUCUGUUUGUUUUGUUUUUGCCCGCCGGUUGUUUUUCGCGGAUGCGACACCCAUUAAUCGAUCAGUCAGUGCUCUAGAUAAGAAUGUUGGAAUUAAACCCAAAACUUUGAGUAAUUCCAAGUCAAUCUUGAUAAACAAGAUUCAAUCAACCGAUCAAAUUUUCUCAUGUUUUCACUCUUCACUCGAGUGAAUCAACCAACAUUGAUUGCGAGAUUGUAUCGCUGCACAACGAUGAUGAAAAUAAGAUAAGAAAAUUAAAUUUAGGAAGAAAGGAAAUUAAAGUUUUAUCGAGAGAGGGAAAGAAGAAGAGUUUUUGUAGAGUAAUUUUCUACUCUCAAACUGAGAUUUUAUUCUUUACAACUGCAAGAUUCAAGUAUUUACAAUAAUAUGGAUUACUCCCUAUUUAUAGAUUUUGGGCUUAUUUACUUCUCAAGAAAGAUCUAAAACUAACCUAACUAAUUCAGUUAAACAAACAAAUAAAAUUAAAUCCAACAUUACUGUCGCGAUACUCUUCGACAUUUUCGACACCUAGGUGAUUCGACACUUCUUUACUUCUGUCGAACAACAUGCUUCGACACAUGGAAUUACAAUUCGACAGUCAUUUGUAAAGAAUCAAUCUUCCAUCAUCCAAAUCAAAUCAAAUAAAACGUAUAAAAUAAAUCAUACAAAACAUAACAACUUAAGUGAAAUCAAAUCUAUAGAGUUCCUAUUUUACAAUUAUUUUAUGGGUGAAUAUACAUGCUUCUAAACCUAAAUGAUCUGAAUAUAUACCAACACAUGUAAUCUGACACACGAACAAUCCAAUGCGCAUGCAAGAGAUGCAUAUUAUGCAUGCCUUUCAGAACUCUCACUAAAUUACAUCAUUUUAAUAUUCAUUUUUCACAAACUAAAUCUUUCUCAAACAUAAUCAAAAUUCUCUCAUUCACAUCACAAUCACUAUAAAAAAAUCACAAAAAAAAAUAAAAUUUCAUCCUAGUCACAUUAUCAUUCUCAAAAAUGUAUUAUAUAAAACUAUACAUUAUUUAUAUAAAACUAUACAUUAUCAUUCUCAAAAAUGUAUUAUAUAAAACUAUUAUUCAUAUUGAAUAUGAUUGUGUUUCAAUUCACUUUUUCUCUUAAAAAAAAUUAUGCAUUAUUUCAUUUACUUUUAUAAUAUCUAAUUAUUUACUUCUAUAAUAUCUAAUUAUUAAUCGGAUAAUCAAUAUAUUAUAAUAUCUAAUUAUUAAUAUUAUAUAAUUAAUAAUAUCUAACUAUUAAUAUCGCUACAAUCAUUUUAUUCCGUGACUCCUCACUAAUUUUGUUUUUGAUCAUUUGUAAUUUUUUUACUCCCUUUGACUCUGAUAAUUUACAAAUAAAUAUAAAAAAAGUAAAGUUUUUAAAUUAGAUAAAAAUAAAUUACUCCAAAAUAGAAUUCAAACUGAUACAAAUAUUACUUACGUUCAUUUUAACUCUAAAGUUUAUCAAUUAAAUAAAUAAAAAUAAUGAACUCUAAAGUUUAUCAAUUAAAUAAAUAAAAAUAAGAUAAAUAUAAAAUGUCAAACAGAGGAAUUUUUUUUUAACAGCUUAGUUGAUUCCGAUUUACUAUAGCAGGUUUUUUAUGAACAAAAAGAUUAUUUCUUUUCCUUUUUUAUUUGUUAUUUAAUUAUUCCCUUAGUUACUUAUCAUACCCCUUUUAUUUUUAAAACUUAAUUAAAUUAAACUAAGUAGUCACUUAUUUAUUUUAUUCGUUUAUACUAAAAUAUCAUUGAUCAAAUAUUCUAAUAUUCUAAUAAGCUCCAUUUUAUUUUGUUGAUCAUCCCAUUUUGGAUGAGUUAGUUGCAUAUUUGAUUUAUAUAUGUGAUUUUGAAAAUUUAUUAAUAAUCGGCCACUAAAUUAACUAUAAUAGUAAUCUAUCAUGGAUAUUAACAUAAGUGAAAAACACAUACACCCGAAAUAACUUGAACAAAAGCAAAGCAAACACCAAGAAGACACAAGAACCACUUGUAAUCUUCUCUCAAAAAAGAAAAAGAAACUACUAAUUAAUAUACACCACCAUUCAUCAUCACGGUUACAUUACAUUAGUAACACUUUCAUUGAGCCUAGCAGCCGCAGCAACAGAAGCAGCUACACCACCAGGAGUAGCAGUAGCAUCAGGACUGUUCCUCAUCUCCGCACUCGCCACCCCCGCAGCAUCAACGGAACAGCGGCGGAAUAGACGGCCGUUGAAGCGUCAUCGAGGACAAAGAACAUCGCUCAGCUUAAUCUUCUCAUCCUCACGAGGACAAUCAGCAUUAAAAGCUGCAGCUGAUUGAGCCAUUGAAGCUAACCCUCCCGGUGUUAUAACAUUACUCCCCGUAGCUCUCACCUCCGCCGCCUGUAUUGCGGCGGCAUCACUCUGUUCCACUGGCUUUUGGCCCACGGUAUAUGAUGUCGCCUCCAGUGCUUCCCCUAUGGUUAAGGCACUCUCUCGAACCGGACUGGUUGGAGCACACUGAAGCGGAGUCGGUUCAACAAAUUGUCCAACAACCUUAAAUUUAGCAGAACACGAGGUUAAAAAUAAGUGAAGUUAAAACAGAAAAGUUUGUAAAAGGAAUUAACAGAGCCGCUGGUUAAGAACCUGUCCACCGACUGAUUCGGUUACUAUGCGUCUUCCUGGGAGUUGAGUUUCCGUGACGGUGACGCCACGGUCGCCGGUGACAUCUGUGACAUCUUUGUGCCCGACGAUUCCUGCCUGCUCAUUCUUAGUAGCGGCUGCUUGCAUGACGGAUGCUACUCCGCCGGGUUGGGUCUGGCCCAACACACGGCUCACACGGUCGCCGGUGACAUCUGUGACAUCUUUGUGCCCGACGAUUCCUGCCUGCUCAUUCUUAGUAGCGGCUGCUUGCAUGACGGAUGCUACUCCGCCGGGUUGGGUCUGGCCCAACACACGGCUCUCGGCGCUCUGCAUCAUGGCGGCGUCUUCCGGUGCAAUGGGCUUCUGUGCAAGGUCACCGGAAACGGGUAAAACGUCGCCGUAUUUGAUUGGUUCUUGAUUGGUAUGACGUUUAGGUUGUUCCUGGCUCAUUUUGCUUUGAUUAGAUUAGAGUGAAUUCGUAUGUUUGGUGAGAAAAUUUGUAGCUAGUUUGUUUGAGUUUUGGAUGCGUAUAGUUUAGCUUUGAAAAGGUAUAUUAAUAGAUUGGAAUGGAGGUGGAAAAGAGAGUUCGUGGCAAAAUACUACACAUGGCAAGUGAUGGCAAGGAGACGUGGCAUGUUUGUUUGGAAUCCACAUAGCAUUCGUUUGCAAAAUUCAUUAAUAUUAAUGUUAAUUAAAAGAAAUCAAAUAUAUUUUUCAUAUGAUUGACAGUGAUAGUGACAAGGCAAUAGUGCUCAUGUUUUUAGAUUGAAUAUAGAUGGUACUAGUAUUUAAAGUUUAGUUGGAUCAAACUAUUAUUUAUAUAUUUUUGUAGAUGCAAAAAGUAAGCUAUAUAUGACCUUAUUGGCAAUGAAUCAAUGAAUUAGUUAAGUAUUACUUUAAAUGUUCUCUGAAUAAGUUAUGUAGUUUCUUCUAUUGCUAAACUUAUAUCUAAGAUUCUUUAGUAUGCUCUUAGACGGGUUGAUGUUAUUUUUAUGUUAGAUGAACUUGGGCCUUUACGAUAUACCACUUCACAUUUUUUUUCUCAACCAUGAUACCUCUAGGAAAAAAGUGAUUAGGUAAAAAAUAAAUGUAAGGGACCAAGUAAUUAAAUAAAAAAAAUAUGGUGAUUAACUAAGAAAUAAAUAUAAGGUCUAUAAAGGCGAAGUGUUUAAGCAAGAAAUAUGGAAGUUCACAAUCCAUUAAGUUUGAGGUCUCUAAGAAUGAACUGAUUAAGUAAGAAAUAUGGAAGUUAUGAGUUGGAGUGGUUGAGGGCAAAACCUGUCAAUCCAAGAGGCGAUAUGCUUAAUAAUUUUUCUCUGUUCUAGUCUUUGAAGCAUGUAUAUAUAGCCACUUUAGUCUUAGUAUUGAGAUUGUAUCAUUGUGUAGUUUAAGAAAAUAUGUCAUUUCUUGAGGGAAAGAUCUCGGUCACACCUUGGCGAAUCUCACUUCUGUAAGCAAUGGGGCAUACAACUCGUCAGCGAAGAUGUAACGUAAUGUGGGGAGCUUACCUUUAUAACUCGGUAAGUGCCUCGCCUCAUAAACAAUUAUCUAAGUUUUUUGUAAGUGUUUCAUGUGAUCUAAAGUGAGUGGAUUGAGGUAUGGACUAUGUGAAUAUUUGAUUCUUUGUAUUUUGUUGAGUAAAUCACAACUUGACGAGUUUGUUCAACUUAUCUCAACUCAUGGAGUAUAUUUAGAUGACCUAUUAUAUGCACUACCACAAAAAAAUAUUUUUUACCACAAUUAUAAAUGUGGGUUAACAUUGACUUCUUAUGCGAGGUAACAAAUGUCAUCAUGAAAAGUGUGUCAUUUUAUCUUUAAGUUGAAAUUCCAUCAAAUGGAGUGGGUAAACAUAAACAUUAUACAAAAAAUAUUCAUUGUUUACACCAAUUGCAGAGGCAAAUUAGCACACACACCUUAUAUUUUUAUUAAAAAAUUAAACAAAUGAUUAAUCAACAAGAGCAAAAAUUAAAAAGCAAAUUCUUGAACGACCGCCCAUAAGUUUUUUUUUGUGAGUUUUGUAAUCGGUCGUUAAGUACAUAUAAUUUGAACCAUAUUUGAAACAAAUAAGGAUAAUCAACAACAACAACAUUAAAUCUGUAAAUCAUUGAUCUCAACAACAACAACAUUCAACAUAAUUCAAACUCAAAUAUCAAUAACAACAACAACAAAAACAUUCAAAAUUCAAUAUCAACAACAUGCAUGAAUAACUAUAACUAAUAUAAAUAAUUUAUAAUCAUAUAUGAAUGUCACAAAGAAUAACACUUACUUUAGAGAUUUUUAAUUUUCUGACUUUUACUUCUAAAAUUAUGCAACAUAUGGUAUCCUUCAACAUCUCUACAUGUUGGAAAAAAUAAAUAUUAAUAAAAAGAAUACAAAUGUAAAAUAAAUAAAUAUAUAUUAUUAAGUCAUAUAAAAUAUUUACUUACUAGUUUUGAUAUAUUCCCUCUUGAUGAUCAUGAUGAAUAAUACGUACAUUAUCUGGAUCAUUUUUUUCAAAUGAGGGACGCACAUGUGUUGUGAAAGAAGGAGUCUCAAAUUUAAAUCUUAAUUUUCAUCAUUAUUAUUUAGAAGUAUGUUUUCCUUGUAAAACAAAUGAUCAUCUAGUGUUUGAAGAAUUAGUGACAGAAAAAAAAAAUUACUUGGAAUGUCACGAUGAAUGGUUGAUUCAUAUAAGAUGUCCUACGAAGAUUAACCCGUGUGAAUCUUAAUUCAUCAAUUUCUACAUCAUUGUUACUAUCAAUUCACUUGCACUUAAAUAAAGGCACUUUAAAAGUAACAUAAUGAAUCUCCAAAAUAUCCUCAAUGACCCCAAAGUACACUCUAGAUUCUAGUACAUGAUUGUUAUCUUUGAAACUAGAUAAUCACUUUAAAAGUAACCUAUUUUUAGCUACUUGGCAUCAUGAUGCAUGACGGCCAACCCGUCAUAACAUACUGAAAAAGGAUCCUGAUCGUGGGUCCAUGAGAAACGUCACGAUGCAUGACGGAAAACUCAUCAUGGUUCUUAAGCGCACACCCUUUUCUUUCCUUCUAAACUACUGACUAUCACUCCAUUUUGAGGCAUGACGGCCAUUACACCUUUUGUACUCAUCAUGACAGUCUGCAACUUUCCAGUUCACUACUAUAGAACACACUUAUCAUAAUUGUUGGAAAAAGGGAUAUAACCACGUUCGAUCAAUUGUUGUGAGGUAAUGUGUGAUUGUAUUGAUGCUUUUCAUCACAUGUGUAUGACUGUUGUGAUAAACUAGGUAGCACAUUAUAUAUCACAACGGUCAAAGUAUAUAAAGCGAAAAGACAUGAGUUCGAAACCUAGUGAUUAUAUGGUUUGUAAUAUUUAGCGCUCUAUCUAUAACAAUGGUUUGUAUAAAUAACCAUGAUUAAAUUCUUUUUUAUUUAAUAUUAUUUUAUUUUUCCAUAUAUUACAAACCUGGAUGUUUCUUACCUGUAUAUUAUACAUAUAUUAGCGAAAUAUUUACAAAAUAUCAAAUUAAGCAAUAAAAAUAUAUUUACAACCAUCAAAGACGAAGUCAUACAAUACCACCCCCUUUUCAACUAAUGCAUCGAAAAUAAACGUCAAACGUCUACGAACGUCGUCUAAGUCAUCGAGAGAGAAAGGUGUCAUGUUAUUAAACGUCUACAUAAACAAGUGAAAAAACUUGAAUAUCACGUUAUUUGAAUAAUAAUAGAAAAUUACUUUAACAUUAAUAUGUUAUUGUAAACAUUUCAUGACAAUAUACAUACCUAAUCCCACGAAUGAACAAUGUCAGCAAAGACGAUGUUAAAGAUGUGUUUCAUUACAUAGUACUCACACUCAUAUCCUCUUAUUAUUUCCUAGUCUACAAAUUUAAACAUUUCAUGAAUAUAUAUAUAUAUAUAUAUAUAAUAUAUAUAUAUAUAUAUAUAUAUAUAUUAUAUAUAUAUAUAUAUAUAUACGAAAUACGAUCUUUUUUCUAGAGUUGUUCAACCUAUAGUGUUUCUCCACAACCUUAUAUAUUGAAAAAGAUUUAAAAAUAUUACACGCUAAAAUAACUACUUAACUAUUUCAUUUAUUUUUUCUAUUAAAAUAUAUAUUUUUGACGGGAAAGAUUACUUAAGUUAUAUAUCUUUUAUAUAUAUUUCUUAAUCAUCACUAUACUAUAUUUAUUUACAAUUUAUAACGACAUUGCGUGAUUCGUCGAACGCACGAUAGAUGAUUACUUAAUUAUUUUAUUUUAUUUUUCUACUAAAAUAUACAAUUUUGACGGGCCGAGACUACUUAAUUUGUAUAUAUUUCAUAUAUAUUUCUUAACCAUCACUUUAAAUAUUUUUUAUAAUAUACAUUUCUUAAAUACAAUUAUAUAAUUUUUAUUUUAUAUUUAUUUCAUAUUUUGUUGACUUUCUUAGACCCGUGCGAGUCUCUUAAUUGGGUACAAAAUUAGAAAGUUAUGAAAAGUUAAGAGAUUUUUUCAUUUUGAUUUAUAUACAAAUGAGUCUUACUUAUUUAUAGUUAUUGUCCAAAAUUAUUAUUUAAAUAUUUAUUAAAAAAACAUGGGUUGGAAAGACAUGAAGAACAUACAUUGAUCUGACCUCUGUCAAAAGUUGUUAUUCUCACACUUUUCUUUCAUUCUCUCAAAUUUCAAUCAUUUUCUACUUUCCCUCCAUUUUCAUCUUCACCACUUUUACAACAACAAAAAUCUCAAAUCAAUUCAUUAAACAAACAAACGAAUUGAUUAUUUCUAUUGCUACAACUAUAAACCUUAAAAUCAAUGCAGCCCGAAGGAAACUUUAAUAAUGAUGGCGCGAGAAACAUAUUAUCAAAUUUGUAACCCGUGGUGUCAGAACAAUCCGGCAAAGGCUUACCCUAUACGUCGAAAAAAAAUCGAACGCCGCUGACAUUUGACAGUGGAAAAUAGACAAAAGAUGUUAGAUAAUUCGGUAAAGUUGAAAGGAUUCGAGUCUAAAUCGUGAUUGAUGUCACUUUUCGUAAAAGUAUUUCAAGCACUCUCUUUAUUGUCUUAGAGUUUAACGCAAGAAUUCUCAGGAUAAUUCAGCCUCGUAAUCGAAUCUGCACAAGACUGGUGAAGAUUGGAAUGCAGAGAAGUGUGUCUGGAAUUUAUGAGAAGAUGAUGCACGAUUUUGAUAUGUUGAUUUUUAAAUAUUGAACAAUGUAUUUAUAGGUCAUGCAUGUGUUAUUUCACAAGGUUGUAACUCUUGAUGAAACAACACCUUUUCAGCAUAGUUUGUAAUGGUUCGCUUAUGGAUACAUUAUGCACCACUUCAUAAAGUGUUGCAUGUUUUGAAUUCGAAGUUCAGACUUUAAGCAACGACUAAAACCAAGAGCAAUACUUAAAAUUAAGUCAUUGCAUGGCGGCUGCAGACCUCCGUCCUCCGGAGCAUCACUGGCGUUGCCGUAUAAUGCCGCGAGUAGCCCGAUUGCUCUGAUGCGUCGUGCCUAAGUGCUAAAGUUCCCCCUACAAUCCAUCACUAGAGGCUCUACACCCACGCCCUCGGACACGGUCCUGGAGCCAGAGCCGGUGUCACCGGUGGCAACAUCGGCGAGAGGUUGUUUGGAUGAGACAUGUGACAUAAUAUUUAGGACCAUUACAUUUGUUCAUGUGGCACUUUAUCCUCUUUAGCUCCAUUAUUGAGUUUAAUGUUUUUAAGUCUUUAUAAAUGCUUUUAAAGUGACCAUUUUUUAUGUGGGCCUAUUAGAAAUGCAUUUAUUGUCAUUAACUCAACUUCACACUUAUUGUCAUGUUGUAACACUCCUGUGGGAAUUAAUUAUCCAUAAUUUCCAACAAUCUCCCACUUGUUCUAAUGAUGACAAGACCAAUUCUAGAAAAGAUAAACAAAGAAUAUUAAUACAGUUAAGUAUCUUUCGAUUGGAACUUAACCUUAGUAUGGAUAACACAAAGUCUAAUCAGAAUGUUAGGUAGCAAUGCUUUGAACCGUUAUCCCUUGUGAUUAUACCGAAAUUACCUUACACACACUCUUUAAUGGUUCUUCGCCCGCACCUCUCGCCUAGCACUACUUAUGGCCAUGUGUUUUUCCUAUUUUCAUGAAUCUUUCAUGAGAGAAACUCCAACUUUCACUUUGAGAUGACACCAUCUCGAAAUUCAUAUAGGUGAAUUUCAUUUUGUAUUUAUUUAUUAAGAUAUAUAUCCUUGAUAAAGAAAUUCAUUAAGAUUUUGAAAAAUUCAACUCUCAAUAUGUAAUAAUCAACAUUGUCAUAAGAUGUUGCAUAAUCAACCAACUCAACGACUUGUUGUUACCCAUUGAAUCUUAGGUUAUGGUUUAUUAACUUCUGAUUGGAUUUCUACCAUUGUCGGAACUCUUAUUCUGGCACAUAAUUUAUCACGUAAAUUAAAUAUAAAAUAAAACAACGUAGGGUGUCACACAUUCAUAACACACAUGACCUGCUCCGUAAUACGGGUUUUAACAAUAAAUUUCAAUACACACAUUUGUAAUAAGGAUGUUUACACGAUAUCCCACUUAUCUGAAUCAUAGCUCGGAUGUUUACACGAUGUCCUUCUCAUCUUAUUGGUAUUAGAUAUUCACAAAAUAAGACAUUCAUAACUUGUCACUGUAUGCUCACUUCCAUUUUAAAGUAUCAUCGCAUCGGAAUUAUCAUCACAAUUAUGGAAGAUAAAGCAAGUAAUAACAUCUAGUCUCAACUUCAAUUGUAAUAAUAAAAUAAGAGGGUUCUAAUCAAUCAACUCAACAUCUUAAGAAUUCUCAACAACAAAAUUAGUCUUAUGACUUCAACAUAAUCAGACAUAAGGAAUAUAAUAAGUGUUUAACCUAACCCGAUGCUACCUUCCACUUACUUCAGCAAUACUACUCUUGAGUAUCUGCACGAUGCCCAUGUAAAGACAACAUUCAAGUAGAAGGGGUGAGAAUUCAUUUCAAUAAUAACGAUAUAGAAUGAAGAAUAGAUUACAACAUCUACACAAUCAUGCACAACAAUAUAUCACAUUCUUACAUCCAAAUCAUAAUCAACAUCAUACACGACAACAUCUCAAUUAUCAUCAAUGUCAUACAAAACCAUAUCUCAAUUAUCAUUAACAUCAUAUACAACAACAUCUCAUCCAACAAUACAUCAACAACAACCAAUACAAAUGCAACACUUAUGCAAUAUACUCAACACCGACUCGACAUGCACAUGGUAUCAAAUAUGAACACUCAGGUUUAUCUCACUCCAUGAUCCCCAUCAUAGGAUCGAUUCCCUCUUGGAACUGGAGCACACCAAAUCGCUACCAUCAUCAUAGGCAAUGCUCCACUAAUCCCCCAUAAUAGGAAUUAAUUACUCGCACUCGAUCCAUCACAACGGGAUCGAGGCUCACAAAAACUCGUUACCAUCAACAUAGGUAACACUUCACUAAUCCCUCAUAAUAAGAAUUAGCUACUCGCACCUGAUCCAUCACCAUAGAAUUGAGGUUCACCAAAAUUGGAGCGAAGCCUGUACACCAAGAUGCAUGACUCUCAAAUAACAUGCAUUAACACAACAAGGUUCACCUAAAGGAUCCCUACACACAUCUCAUAAUUUAUGCAUCGCAUCAUUCAUCAUGAAGUAACCAAUUCAUGUUUCCAUGUGAAUAAUAUUAACAAAAAACAAUAACUUGUUAACAUCUUAACAUCAUCGACAUAACAACAUAAUCAUCACACCACAAUAUUACAACAAUGCAACGAUUCAUCAACCAGACGUAUAAACCAAUACAUUUAUUAACAUACUAGGCAUAUGAAUAUUAUUAAAAUAUAUAAACAAUUACUACCAUGUUAUAGGUAUGAGCAUUAGCUUUCUAACGCUUCCAACGACAUCAAAAUCGGACUUACAAAUAAAAGUUAUGACCAAAAUCGUCGGGAUAUGUCAACAAUUCAUUAACCGUACGUAUGAACAAAACUUUCACCAACACAGUAGGCAUAAGAAUAAUACUUAAACAAUUCACUUAUCACCAUCAUGUUAUAUCUCUUAGAGUCAACUUUCUAAUGCUUUAAACCCUAACCCAAAAUGAUUCACGAGUUGAAAGUUAUAAUCAAAAUCGUGCACAAAGGUGUUACUAUAAAUUGUUGUUUUCUAAAAUUUCCAACACAAUUUUCAUCUUUUUCAACCCCAAAAACGUCCAUGAAAUAAUCACUAAAAUUAUUUUAUCCCUGAAACAAAAUUAUAGCACUCUACUUCAGAUAUCCAACGCUUCAAACGACACUCAAUUUGGACUUACGGACCAAAAGUUAUGGCCAAAAUAAUUUCGACCGAAAUACACACAAAAAAGGCUCACGCGCUUAGCGCGGUCGUGACGGACAGAAUGCAGAAUUUUCUACAUUUUUCAUUGUUGGAGGCCUUCCGGACCUCCGAUUUCAAUUCCGUAUAAAACCAAAUGCUCGGAAAAUUACAACUCAUGCAAUACUCUAAUUAUCUAAAGUUAAUUUACAGUUAUAACAUAAUUAAAUUAUUUAAUUACAGUUUUAAGAUUAUGCCUAAAACAUUCGAAAUUGCAACAAUGGUGGAUAUAUGUUCAAUCAUAAAAACAGAAAAAUACAUGCACAUAAGGGACACGAAAUUCAUCAUAUAAUAACCAUCAUAGCAUCCAAAUUCAAAAUUAUGAAUCAAAACACUCAACCCUAAGGAGGUUAAAGAUUCCUCCAUUCUACCCUUCUACCAUAUCCAUUACUAUCGGAACUAGUUCUCACCCUUACCUAACUUCCUUGCAAAAAUUCUAAAUUGAAACCUUCACUCUCUUCCCUUGAUCACUUUUCCUAUUUCCUCUUUACUCCUUUUUCUCAAAUGUCACGUACUGUGAAAAUCUCCCUAAAUCUAGGUUCCUCUUAACUUUUUAUUUUUAGGGUAAACUUUUCUAAAUCACCAACUUGACCCAAAUUUAAGUAUCUCAUAUUCCUUCCUCCCACUAACUUUCUCAAUUUCUCAUAUUUGGCCCAAUUAUUCUAUCUUCACUAAUUAAUAUAAUAAAAAUAAAUAAAAAAUUAUUUUUAAUUAUCAAAACAAUUCUAAAUUAUUCUACUUACUUCUAUCAUCCCUCUAUACCUUUAACUCAAGGAUACAUACUCCGUCAACACUCAGGCAUAAAAUAAAUCAUCAAAAUAUAUAUUUCAAACAAUUAAAAUAUAAUAAAAUAUCUAAUAAAAACGGGGUCUUACAGUCUUUACUAAGUCUUUGGUCAGUGGCUUAGUAAAUGGAUCAGCUAAAUUAUAGUUUGUUCAUAUAUAUGUCAGUGAAAGGAAUCCAUCCUUAAUUAAUUUUCUCACGAAAGAAUGUCUAAGACCUAUUUGCCUAGACUUUCCAUUAUAUACUUCACUGAACGCUCUUGCUAGGGUGGCUUAGCUAUCACAAUGUAUCAACACUUUUGAAACAUUGUCUUUAGCCAAUGAAACUUUCAACAGAAGGUCCCUUAACCAUUCAGCUUCUUGACCAUCGGAAGCAAGAGCCACAAACUCUAAUUCCAUAGUCGAAAGAGUAAUACAUGUUUGUUUCUUGCUCUUUCAAGAAAUCGCACCUCCAGCCAAUGUAAAUAUUCACCCUAUUGUAUAUUUAUGAUCUCUAACACUCGAUAUUUAACUCGCGUCGGUAUAUCUUUGUAGUAUGGCAGGAAACCUAACAUAAUAAAGGUCAAGAUUUUUAGUUUUUAAGAGGUAACCAAAAAUCCUAUUUAUGGCCUUCCAAUGUUCACCAUUUGGAUUUCUAGUAAAUCUACUCAUCUUACUAACUGCAAAUGUUAUGUCACGUCUGGUACAUUUCAUUAAAUACAUUAGACAUCCAAUUGCACUUGAUAUUCCAAUUGGGCCACAAUUCUUCCAUUGUUCUUUUGAAUUUUGACACUAGGAUCAAAUGGAGUGCUUACUUCCUUAAAGUGUAGGUGUUUGAACUUAUCCAACAUUUUCACAAUAUAAUGUGUUUGACUAAGUUCAUAACCCCCACUUAUUCGUUUUACUUUGAUCCCUAAAAUAGUGUGAACUAAUCCAAGAUCUUUCAUCUUGAAUGUGGAAGUUAGAAAUUAUUUUUGUUUCUAAAAUUCCAUUCAUCUCAUUGCUAAUGAUCAACAUAUCAUCAACAUAUAGACACAAAAAUAUUACAAUGUUUCCACGCACCUUUAUGUACAAACAUUUUCACAAGAAUUUGGAAUAAAUCCAUUUGAAAGUAUGAUAGAGUCAAACUUUUGAUGUCAUUGUUUUGGUGAUUGUUUUAAACCAUAUAAUGGUUUGACAAGUUUGAAUACCUUUUGUUCAUUUCUAGGAAGCACAUAACCUUCUGGUUGUUCCAUGUAGAUUUCCUCAUCGAGAUCUCCAUUUAAGAAUUUUGUUUUAACAUCCAUUUGAUGAAUAAUAAGGUCAUUCUGAUAAGCUAAUGCAAACAAUACUCUUAUUGUCGUCGUCCUUGUUACAGGUGCAUACGUGUCGAAAUAAUCAACAUCUUCCUUUUGUCUAAACAUUUUUGCUACUAAUCUAGACUUGUAGGUUUUUAAUGUACCAUCACUAUGAUAAUUUUUUCUAAACACCCAUUUACAUCCAAUGGGCCUUGAACCCUUUAGAUGAUCGACAAGUUCCAAAGUGUGAUUUGAUAUGAUCAAAUCCAUUUCGUCUUCGAUAACAUCUUUCUAAAAAGAAGAGUCCACUAAAGCCAUUGCUUCUUUAUAGGUUUUAGGGUCAUCUUCUAAUAGGAGAAUAAUAGGGAUCUUAUGAACAUCAUUCUUGCAAUUUCCUUCAACUAGAUAAAAGGAAAUGAGCUGAGAAUCGAUUUCAUUUGGUCCUAAAACUUUAGCUUUUCAGGUUCUUUUGCUUAUCCUAGGCUUAGGUUGUGUUUCAACAAUUCCCGAGAUAUUUUCGGGUUCUUCUUCAACAAUUCAUGGAGAGUCUUCAUCACGAGAUUCUUCAUUCAUGGGAAUCUCAUAUUCCUUAUCUUUCGUGAUAAGUUUUUCAAAAAACUCCACAUCUCAGGAUUUAAAAAUUACGUUAGACUCCAAACUUAAAAGUUGAUAUGCCUUGUUGUUGGAUGCAUAUCCUAUGAAAGCACAUUUGAUCCCUCGAGGACCCAAUUUAGUUAUUUUAGGAUUCAUAUUCUUAUUAUAUGUCACACACACCCACACUAUAAAAUAACUAAUAUUUGGUGAUCUACCUUUCCAUAUCUCAUAUGGAGAGAUACCAGUUAACUUUAAAGAAAUCCUAUUCAUUAUAUGACAUGUGGAUAGUAAUGCUUCACCCCACAAAUUAAAUGAAAAUUCAGAAUGCAUUAACAUAGCAUUUAUCAUUUUUUGAUAUGUUCGAUUCUUUCUCUCGGCUAGACCAUUUUAUUAUGGUAUACGAGGUGUGGAACAUUCAUGUAUAAUGUUUUAUUCUUCACAAUAUGCAUUAAAUUCCAUAGAAAAAAAUCACCACCCCUAUCACUUCUAAGGACUUUGAUACUUCUACUUAAUUGAUUUUCGACUCCCGCUUUACAGAUUUUAAAGGCAUUUAAAGCGUCAUAUUUAUGCUUUAGAAGGUAUACAUAUGUGAACCUAGAGCAAUCAUCAAUAAAGGUUAUGAAAUACCGGUUCCCCCCACGGAUUAGCAUGCCAUUAAAUUCACACAAACCAGAGUGCACCAUAUCAAGCGAAUUUGAUUUUCUUUCAACACUUUUGAAAGGUUUGUUGAUCUUUUUUUAUUUGACACAUAUUUCAUAUUUUUCGAAAUCAUGAAUAUUGCAUGAGAUCAAACCAGAUUUAAUUAGUUUGUUCAUAAUACUAAUAUCAAUAUGUGCUAAUCUAUAAUUCCAUAAAGAAGUAGAUUCAAGCAUAUAAGAAGAAUUAGAAAUUUCAUUAAUAAUAUUAUCGGUAGUACAAUGUUUGAUCAUUUCCUCAGCAAGAUAUCAUUUUCCUACAAAUACACCAUUACGGGUCAAUAUUAGUUUGCCUAAUUCAUAUACAAACUUAAUACCAGCUUUUUCCAACAAGUCCCCACUAACUAGGUUCUUACUCAUGUCGGGUACAUGGAGUACAUUGACAAGAGUAACUUUCUUUCCAGAAGUAAAAUUCAGUUCGACGGAUCCUUUUCCAACGACUCUAGAUCGUACUUCAUUUCCCAUAUGCACUUCUUGUCCAUCAUUUACUUCAGAAUAGUUUUUAAAUGCUGCUUUGUCAUAAGAAACAUGCACGAUAGCAUAUGUAUCAUACCACCAUCCUUGCAUUUUGCCUUUGAUUGCCAUAAUCUCGCUCUUCGUAGCAACUAUGUCGUCAUUUGCAUGAAUAACAUUAACUUCGUUUUUGAACUUGUUAUGCAUGCAAUCUAGAGUAUAAUGACCUGGUUUUCCGCACACAUAGUAGCCGUCUUUUGGUCCGCCGGAGUUCUUGAACUUGUUAUGUUCUUUCUUAGGGCCAAGAUGGUUCUUCAUGUCAUCAUGUUUCCUCUUUUCUUUUCCAAUCACAGCAUUGGCUUUAGAGUAUCCAGGAGACUCUAACGUUUCUCUAUCUUUCAUAUCCUCCUCGAUUCGAAUGUGUUUCUGAAGUUUCUCCAACGAGAAAUCCUCAUAAUUAUGCAACAAUUUCGUUAUGUAUCAUUUCCACGAAGAUGGAAACUUUGCAAUGAUUGCACCAACUUGGAAAGCUUUUGAAAUGCCUAUUCUUACAACUUUUAUUUUAUUCACGAGAACCUCUAACUUGUGUACUUGUGCAAGAAUAGGCUUGGAAUCUAUCAUUUUAAAAUCAAAGUAUUUAGAUAUUAAGACCUUUUUCGUACCUUCCUCUUCAGCCUUGAAUUUGAACUCAAGUGUUUUCCAUUUUCUGUUGCAGGCUGAGUAUCCGUAUAGAGGUCGUAAAGAACAUCAUAUAGCAUAUUCAGGAUAUGUGCACGUCAUAUCAAUUCAUCCUCUUUACGUUUCUUGCGCUCAUUCUUGAGUUCAUCAGAGUCAUCCUCGGUUGGUUCAGGAAUUAGUGUCAAGUUAGGAUCUAAGACAUAGUGAACCUUCAGAGCGGUCAGUAGGAAUGUCAUCUUGUUUUGUCAUCUGGUGAAAUUGAUUCCAUCAAAACGAUCCAAAUUGACAAGGUCCUGGUUCAUAACUUUGAUGCUUGAAACUACAACGAUUUUGAACGCAAAAAUACCCAGGAUAAUUCAGCCACGUAAUCGAAUAUGCACAAGAUUGGUGAAGAUUCGAAUGCAAGAAAGUGUAUCAGGAAUUAAUGAGAAGAGGACGCAUGAUUUUGAUAUGUUAAUUUUUGAAUACUGGGCAAUAUAUUUAUAGGUCAUGCAUGUGUUGUUUCACAAGGUUGCAACUUUUGAUCAAACAACACAUUUUCAGCAUAGGUUUGCAAUGAUUCGCCUAUAGAUACAUUAUGCACCAGUUCAUGAAGUGUUGCAUGUUUCAGAUUCACUACGCCAAAUAAGGGAAAAGAGGGCGCUUAUUUUGGCCUAUAACAGCGCUUUUAAGCGCCCUUUAAUCUGGCGCUGGCAUAGGUAAAGACAGCGCUUUGUUUUCCUGGAGAAAGCGCUGUCUAAAGUGGCCACAUUAUAGUGCGCUUUAAGACAAAAGCGCCCUCUGGAGUGGUCCAUAAAGGGACACCUUAGGAGGGCGCUUUCUGGAGAGCCCCUCUUAAAGUUGUCAAUGUAAAGUGUUUAGAGGCGCUUUCAGGAAAAGCGCCCUCUAAGUGUCAAUGUAAAGUGUUUAGAGGGCGCUUUCAGAAAAAGCGUCCUCUAAAGUUGUCAAUGUAAAGUGUUUAGGGGCGCUUUCAGGAAAAAGUGCCCUCUAAAGUUGUCAAUGUAAAGUGUUUAGAGGGCGCUUUCUGGACAAAGCGCCCUCUAAAGUUGUCAAUGUAAAGUGUUUAGAGGGCGCUUUCUGGACAAAGCGCCCUCUAAAGUGUUAGUUAUUUUAAAAAAAAUUGUUUGAAAAACAGUGGAUAUAUAUUUAAUUGUAACCUGUUCGCAUGCUGCAAAAGUGUAAAAUUCAUAUGAUUUCAUCCUUUAAUCCAAUGUUAUAACCAUUAAUCCAUUGAUAUAUACAACAUGAAUCCAUUUAAUAUCACACAUUAAUCCUCCAUAUAUACAACAUUAAAUAUAUGAUUCUUUGAUCAACAAUAUACAACAACAUAUUCUCAAAGUACUACAAUUAAGAGAAUAAAAACAUAGCAACCAACACCCAGUGACCACUGUAUCCAAAAGCUGUCUAGUAGUUCUAACCAAUACUAACAAAAACGCCCAUCCACCCAUGGUGGCAAACAUGUUAUGUAUAUCCAAAAGCUGUCUAGUAGUUCUAUCGCACAUCCAUACAAAUAAGGCUCAACCAAAACAACAGAUGAGCAAGCAUAAGUAGUGUCCCCUGCAAAAAGAAACGUCCAAUGCAAAAUAAAACACAGAACUGUCAAAGGCGAUUGAGCAACAAAUAGUAAACAAUGGCAUAAAGUUAAAUGACAUAGCUAAUAUUACCUGAAUUCCUGCAUGGCUGUUAAGGUAAAAUCAAAUUCCCUAGGGUGACAAAUGCUGGUGUCUACCACGGUUCCUUUGACAAUUUAGAACAACAAAAUCAGCAAAAGUGAUAAAUUCAAAUGAUAAUAUUACAGCUGCGUUGAGAAAUAUAUUGAAAAACCUGCAUAAUAUUUCCACUUCUAUCGGUCUCUUUGGGGUUGACAGGAAAGAGACGGUGUGAUGUCUCUUUUGGACCACUACAAAAGUAACUUUAGGUAGAUACCAUCUCUCUAUUGAGACAAAAGCCUGAUGAAAAAAAAUUAAAAUUAAACGCAGAGAAUUUAGUGGUGUAUUUUAUGAACGACAAAGUAACAAGAAAUAAACUUUGAGAAGUCCUAAAUUCUGCCUACAAUACAGUGCUGCAAAGUUGAUGCAACAAAAACAUAUAACAAUAUAUGGUAAGUACCUGUAUCUCCGACCAUAUUUUUUCUUUGCCAACCUUCAAGUCCGGACUUCUCCAAUUAUCACAUGUAACGGAUAUGUUGUCGAACAAGGAAACCAAUGUAACUUGCCAAACAUUGAACCCUUAUCUUUUGAAGAUAGAAUUGAUAUAUGUUUAGAUGGACAUGUUCCAUUGUCGUAGAGGGAUACUUUCAAAUAUCCAGCAUCAUCAUCUACGCGAGUGAGGCUUGACGACAAUAGAGCAUCUCCAUCUAACAAAUAUCCAGCAUCAUCAUUUUACCUGUAAAAAGAAAACAAUUAAAAUCAGAUGACAAAUGUAAAAGCAAUUAAAUCAUAAAAGUCAUUUUACCUGUAAUAAAGAAAACAAUUAAAUCAUUUGACCUGUACCUUUUUCACUAAGUUCUCUUUCUUUUCUUGGUUGGAUAUGUUCUACAUGUCUCUUAACAACACGGACGGUUGGAUUGAUCCAAAUCCCUCAUUAUGAUCAUUCUCAUAUAUGAAUCAUUUGAUAUAAUAUUCUCAUCUUGACCAUUUCUGGUAAACGAUUCAAUCUCAACAUCAAUAUCACCUUGAUCUCCAGUGUUUUCAUCAAUUACUUGUUGGAAAAAAGAACUAUAGACCUUUCGUACUUUUCGGAUCAUUGACAUAGAACACUUGUCUAGCUUGAGAGGCUAGAGUAAAAGACUCAUCUUUGUAUCCCACCCUAUUAAGAUCCACUUGCAAAUCCUGACUUAUCCAUUCGAAUGCCGUUAUUAUUUUCAACCACUUGCAACCAAAUAUAGGAAUCUGAAACUUCUCAUAAUCAAAACACCCAAAUGCGCUCGAUAACACCAAAAAUACGACAGAUUUGCAAAUUUGGGGGUUUAAGUCCUUACACUUGAUAUGUGCAUUGCUUCAGCUACCCGGUGACACCACUAUUCUGCAUAGUACUUUUAUCAUCUUGUUCUUUGGUAUAAAAUGUGUAUCCAUUAAUCGCGUAUGCGCUAUAAGAAAAAACAUGGAAACUUGGACCAUAUGCUAAGCACUCAACCUUUCUGUUAUUGAAGCGGGAUCUGAAUAAUACUUUGAAUAAAUAUGAUCCUUAAACCAAGGUAUAAAACAUCGAUUGUGCUCUCGUACUAUCCAAUUUUCAUUCUAUUUGGGAUUUAAACCUCAGAGAACAUCCUUGUGAAUUUCAACAUAGGCUCAACCUCAUUCUCAUUGUGCAGAACAUACAAAUGCACUUGAUCCGUUCGACCCUUGAUACUGCCACGAUUUUAUUUCCAAUUAGAUUUUUUCCUUCUUUCUUUUCGACAAGCUGAGACUUGGGGAGUCGAUGACUGAACAUUAGACAAUAUUCAGUACCAAAACUCAAUCGCUUCUUCAACAAUGUAUCUUUCAACCAUACAACCUUCUGGUCGACUUCGGUUCUUCACGUACCCUUUAAUAUUUUCAUAUAACGUUCAACAGGGUACAUCCAUCUCAUAUAAGCUGGUCCAUACAAUUGUGUCUCUUUCACAAGAUGAACACUAGAUGUAACCAUUAUGUAAAAAAAAUGAUGGAGGAAAACAUUUCAAGCUCACACAAGUAUAAGAUUUCUUUUUGCACAUUGUGAUCGCAGGAUUGAUCACCUUACUGCAAUUGACUUGAAGAAAGAACACAACUUAUUUAUAGAGUCUUACUUUUCUGGAAGAAUAGAACGUAUACCUAUUGGGAGAAAAUGUUCCAUUAUAACAUGGCAAUCAUGGUCUUUAAACUCUUUAACUUGAGGUCUUUCAUAGCACAAGUCUUCUAUAUCUGAAGAGUACCCUUCUGGAACUUAACUUCACUUAGAAACUUACACAUGUUUUUUUUCUCCUUUCUAGAUAGAGUAUAAGCAGCAGGCGGUAGAUAUGUUCGUUUUCCUUUCUUCAAGGGUCCUAAUUCAGUUCUUAUUCCCAUCGUUAUCAAGUCCUUUCUUGCCUUAAGGCCAUCCUUAGACAUUCCUUGUAUAUAUGAGUAACGUGCCAAUAACACUUUCAAAUACAUUUUUUUCAAUAUGCAUAACAUCAGAAAAUGUCUCACAUACAAGGACUUCCAAUACGCAAUUCAAAAAAAACUGACCUCUUUCUUCCACCCACUUUUGACAAGGUGUGGGCAAAAGGCUUGCCAAACUGAGUAUCCAAAUUCUUUCACCUUUUCAAAAAUUGAUCACCCGUCAAUAUAGGUGGAGCUCUGCCUUGUUCUGUCUCUCCACUUGAACGCCUUUCUCCAUCCACGGUAUGAUGAUUUGAAUUUAAGAAUCUCCGAUGACCGAGAAAGACAUUCUUCUGACCAAAACUCCAAGCGCUUCAAUCUGUUUUAUCUUCACAAAUAGGACACGCACAUUGACCUUUUAUGCUAUACCCUGAUAGAUUUCCGUAUGCUGGAAACAUUAAUUGUGCCAAACAACAUCGCCCUCAAGUUGAAACUUUCUUUCCUAUAUCCAUCAUAAACCUCCACAGCGUCUCCACAAAAUCUUUAAAUCUCGAUUAAGGCUUCAAGUACACGUCCUAUGUCAUUCCCUGGUUGUUUAGGUCCAGAAAUCAACAUAGACAACAUCAUGUACUUACGCUUCAUACAUAGCCAUGGAGGUAGGUUAUAAAUCAAUAAUCACAGGCCAUGUACUGUGUGAGAUACUCUGGAUACCGUGUGGGUUCAUUCCAUCAGUAGAUAAUGCCAAGCGAAGGUUUCUUGAUUCUUCUCCAAAUUCAGGAUAAUCAUUAUCAAUUUUCAAACCUGUGGUGAAUCUGCCGGAUGUCGUACUUUCCAUCUAUAAUUCUUUCAUCUGCAUGCCAGGUCAAGUGUCUUGAAUCGGUUUCACUACGAAAACAUGCGUCUAAACUCAGAAUAACAGGAAAAUACCACAGACCUUUGCUGGAGACAACUUGUUCUUAUAUCCGAGACACCGCAUUUAGGACACUCAUUUAACGAUGCAUACUCAUUUCGAAACAAACGCAAUCGUUUGGACAUGCAUGUAUCUUAUCAUAGCUCAUGCCAAUAGAGCACAACAUCUUUUUGGUUCAUAUGUUCGAUUGGGAAGAACAUUAUCCUCAGGAAGCAUAUCUUUCAAAAGGGCUAAUAACUCUGUGAAACUUUAUCCGACCACCCAUUGCCCGCCUUUAAGUUGUACAACUUUAAUACCGCAGACAAUCUUGUGAAUUUAGUGCAACCAUCAUACAAAGGUUUCUCUGCAUCACUUACCAACCUCUCAAACAUUUCGGGACAAUCCUUAAGAUCUCCUUCAAUGCUUCUGCAAUCUCUUCAACUCGAUCACAAUCGUAUUGUAUCUGCGCCACUAAGUUUGAGGCAUAGGUCGUACUAUCCCCCGUUAACAUUCUCGUUACUUUUCUCACCAUGGCAAAUUCCAACAUGUAUAACUUCGAUCAAUUCCAUGCCUCAUUAGAUGCGUGUCAACUGAACUGCGUCAACCCGUUUCCCAUAACAACAACCCAAGCAAGGACAUAUCAUUCUACUGGGUCUUCGGCGGUGCGCAACGGCAAACUUAACGAAUUCUGAUACCCCAUUCUCGUACUCUCUCGACAUCGAUUGGAAGACAUCCAUGUAUUAUCCAUUACUAAUUAGAAUAUAAAAAACAUUUCAGAAAGAGUUCAAACACAUUCGGACCUAGGUUUCUAAUGAUACUGGGUUGACACAAAAUCAGAUGUUUCAUAGGUUGUAUAACCCAUUGCAUCCGCAAUCAUGGUCACUAAAAACCAACCGUCAAUUUCCUAGUGCAUCCGCUAUCAUGGUCGAAACAAACGUAGAAGGAGGAAACGCGCAGUAUAAGGUAAAACAGAAAUUGGGCAAAGCUAAAACAAGCAAUAACAUAAACAGUAAUUGGAAAAGCGUGUACCUUUGAUUGGUAGAAGGAGGAAACGCGCAUGUAGAUCUAACAGAGGUGGAAGGAAAACGCCUCAGAACCCUAACGUGAAAAAGAACGCUAAUAACAGAUAGUGAAAUAACAAAAUGCGCGGUAUGUUAUAAUUUAAUGUUUACUAAAGGGGACAUUAGAGGGCGCUUGUGGAAAAAAAGCGCCCUCUAAAAGGGGCCUAAGAGGGCGCUUAUGAAAGCGCUCUCUAAGGCUUUCCAGAAGCGCUUUAUAAGCUGGAAAUGCACGUGGACUUAUAACAGCGCUUUAUUAAAAACGCCCUCUAAGGGUAACCUUAGAGGGCGCUUUCUAUAAAGCGCCAUGUAUUGUUGUCCCUCUAUCUCCUCCUUAUUUUUUCGUUUCACCUUAGAGGGCGCUUGUGGAAACAAAGCGCCCUCUAAAGGGGACCUAAGAGGGCGCUUAUGAAAGCGCUCUCUAAGGCUUUCCAGAAGCGUUCUAUAAGCUGGAAAUGCACAUGGACUUAAUAACAGCGCUUUCAUUAAAAAGCGCCCGUCUAAGGCCGUAAACCUUAGAGGGCGCUUUCUAAAAAGCGCCAUGUAUUGUUGUCCCUCUAUCUCCUCCUUAUUUUUUCGCUUCACCUUAGAGGGCGCUUUAUUACAAAAGCGCCCUCUAAAGUGAGUCGCUUCACUUUAGAGGGCGCUUUUGUAAUAAAGCGCCCUCUAAGGUGCGCUGUCUAAUCCAGUUUUUGGCGUAGUGAUUCAAAAUUCAGACUUGCAUCAUGCGUAAGUGCUCAAGUGCCCCCUACAAGCCGCCUCUACGCCCACGCCCCUGAACCCGGUCUCGGAGUCGGUGUCGGUGUUGACCAGCAAGGGGUUGUUUGGAUGAGACAUGUGGCGUAAUGUUUGGGACCAUCACAUUUGUCCAUAUGACACUUUAUCCUCUUUAGCUCCUUUGUUGAGUUUAAUAUUUUAAGUUUUUAUAAAUGCUUUUAAAAUAAGGAUGGCUUUUUAUGUAGGACUAUUGGCAAUACUUUUAUUGUCAUUAACUCAACUUCAUAAUUUCCAACAAGAGAAUCUCAUCUAACAGUAAAUUUCAGGAUCGGUACCUAUAUCUCCCUCGUCGUCUUGCUGCCCCUGCUGAUCGGAUUUCUUAUCGCGGUAGAUUCGAAAGCAAGCUUGAAACUCAACGCUACGUCAAAGAAUUCUUCCCUGACGCUAAUAUUGUUCAUUUCUUUGACUCCUUCAGCUGGAGAAUUCCGUCUGGUCUUCCUGGUCUGUCUCUUUGCUUUGUUCUGACUUUGCUUUUCUUCCUAAUGUUUCGUUAUUAGUCUUUUCUCAAUGCUAUUAAUUUUCUAUUUAUUAACAAGUUAUAGAUAGGGGCUUUUGAAUGUAUAAACUGUAAAAGCUCAUUUUAACUUGCGUUAGAUACUUGUUGUAAAGCUUUCCUGCAUGUUUAGAUAAUUAUAGUGACACAUAACAUACAAGCUUUUCUGCAUAGUAGGCCAUAUGAAUCCUGUGGCUGGUGGACUUCUUCAUCAGUUAGAAUUAAAAGUGCAGCCAGAAUCUGAUCCCGACAUUGGUGGAUGCAAAGCUGGGAGAUGUGCAGCAGUUUGAUUUUGGAUGAAGAAAAAGAAAAUUCACAUGUUGCACCGAUGCUAUCUGUUGCGGUAACGACAAUGUUGUGAUGGAUACUAUUGAUGACGAAGGUACUUUAAAGCAUUUAAAUGUUCAAAAAGGAACAAAAUCUUUUUGUUAUCAAUCCGAGUUAUCAAAACUUGAUGCUGAGUGUGAUAAGGCUAUGGAGGAUCUUGAAAAAUCACAGAAGUAUGAAUAUAAGGUGGCAGAGGAAAGCCUUCAUACACAUAAGAAAUAUUUACUAAAUAUUUCUCAACGACUCGACAAAGAGAAGUCUGAGUUAGCAGGGCAGUCCAGCACAUCUCGUUCAAACUUGUUUCAAACUAUAGAGAAAAGAAAUGAGCAGCUAAGGCGGGAAUUGAAGAAAUUUGAAGAAAUGAAGAAGGUAGCUAAUGGUUUUGGCAGCACAUCUAAAGUAAUUUUAGAACAGCACUUUGGCUUGUAAAUUGCAUUAUAAAAUUAUAGAGAUUACAGACAAGGGUUGAAUAAAAUGGCUAUGGGGCAUGGUAAUGGUUUUACUGCCAAAUAGUAAGUAUAAAUUAAUUCCUACAAAAACAGCCUGAAUAUAUUUAUUUGAAGUCUUUAUCUGAUAGCCUCUUAAAAAUAGCUAAAAUGAUACAUGUGGUCUUUUAUGUUAGUCCUAAAUUUUAGAUAGAUAUCCUUUCACCCCCAAAUUGGUCUUUAAAUCUCAAAAUGUGCAUGUUGUUGUCUGUUUUUUUUUUUUGUACUUCCUUUAAACUCUGUUAUAUUCUCAAUCUUCACAAGCUAUUAUUAAAACUGAAACUAUUAGAUAGGCAUGAAUGAAAGGGGGGUCACUAAAUGGCACAAAAUUAUCCCCAUGUUGCAAGGUUAAAGAGAGAACUAAACAAAUAUUUCACUCCGUAAGUAAUAUUUCAAAGUUCAUUAAUGUAUUUUUUUUUGAGUUAGGAGACUGUUUGGGUGGGUUCACUCCCUAAGUGGGACCCAAUGAUUAAAAGAAAAUUAAUUGCAUAUGUGUUAUGGUUUAAUUUGGCUAAAUCCACAUCAGCCUCGAGAAAAGGGAAACUAAAACUAAAAUAUAUAUAUUUUUAUUGUUGUUCAGCUCCUUCAAAAGAUUCAUUAACCAUACAGUUAAGCACGCAUAUAACGAAGCAGUAAUGUACUCGAUCUCACAAAAUGAAAGUGAAAUUAUCGGUUCCUUCUUCGAACACCAUGAGAUUGGUGUUUCACCGAGCAUAAAGAUGUAUCCAGUUGUAGACUUUUAAUCGUCUUUAUCUCUGGACUAAUUGAAAUCGAUAAAAUCGAGAAAAUUGCAUUUUAUACCCGUAUCUGCUGCCGGGAAGAUAAUUCUGCAGCCAAUUAAUCAUUUGAUGUAUCUUAGGAUCCUCUUGACUCCUGCCAAGUGAGACACCUUUGGUCUUCCCAUGAAUCUACCUACAAUACCGACACUAAAUACCAAGUAUGGAUGCGUAUUGCACAAAUAGCGCAAGGAUCUAACCAGCCUCCUAUACUGAGUUGGAUUAACAUCUUGCUCACCUUCAUUCUUCGAUAGUUGUAGCCUCGGCUCAGCCAGAAUAAUGGUAGUAUUACAAUGGUCCAUUUCAAACUUCUUCAAUAUCUCAAAUGCAUAACUUCUUUGGUGCAUGAGCAGUCCCCUUUUGGACUUGUAGAACUCAAUGCAAAGAAAGUAAGUCAUAAGGCAAAUGUCGGUAAUCUCAAAUUCUUUCAUAAGUUCACUUUUAAACUUAGAAAUACACUUUCUGUUACUGCUCGUUAUCAACAAAUUGUCUACAUAUAGACAAAGGAUAAUCAUUCCUUCACUUGUAUCCGUCUUCACAUACACGCCAUGCUCGGAUACACAUAUCUUGAAACCAACCUCCUUUAGGAAACCAUUUAUUCUCUUGUUACAAGCUCUUGGAGCUUGCUUCAAACUGUAUAACACUUUCUUCAACUUGUAGAAAUUUAGCUCUUGGUUUCUCAUAACAAAACUAGGGGCAUGUUCUAUAUACACCUCUUCUUCAAGUGGUUCGUUCAAAAAAACAUAUUUGACAUCCAUUUGGUAGAUAUGCCAAUUGUUGUUAUUCGCAAUACCGAAAACUAUCCUUAUGGUUUCAAUCCUAGCAAUCGGUGUGAAUACCUCUUCAAAGUCUAUGCCUUCUCUUUGUAAGAAUCCAUUUGCAAUUAAUACAACCUUAUGUUUGAUUACUCCAUCCUUAGGAUUUACCUUCACUUUGAACACCCAUCUCACUCCAAUUGUCUUCUUCUUGUCCGAUAGAUCAACCAACUGCUAAGUAUUGUUCUUCUAAAUAGAUUGUAACUUCUCCUUCAUAGCUCAAAUCCAUUUUGGAUCACUUAAAUCCUCUUCCAUUUUAACAGGUUCAGAUUCGGCCAUAAGUGCAAAAUGGACCAAAUCACCAUCAUCAUUGGCUCCGUUGUCUCAGAACAACUCACAGUCUUGGAGUCUUUGAGGAAAACCCCUUUGCCUUGUUGAUCUUCUCACAUUUCCUUUAAUUUGGGCUUUGGUAGCGGCCUUUUCUGCAUUUCCCGUAUCUACAGAAUCUGAACUUUCAAAGUUGUAACCGAUUACAGCUUUUACGUAACUAGUUACAGGUUGCUGCAACUCCUUGAUUUCAUCGACAAUGACGUCUCGGCUGAUCAUAACCCUCCUGUUUACUACAUCAAACAACUUGUAACCACCGAUAGAGAGAUGCCCUACAAGUAUCAUUAACUCUCCGUUAUCAUCCAGGUUCUUUCUAAGCUGCCCUAGAACACGUCGAUACGCUAUGGAACCAAAAGUUCUCAAAUGGUUCAGAUUCUGUUUGAUUCCUGACCAUGCUUCCUCCGAUAUUGCCUUCUCAAGCUUUUAAAUUUGUUGGACAUGUAUUCAACAAAUAGACAGUUGUUGAAUAGCUUCUUCCCAUAACUCUUUUGGCAAGUUCUUCCCCUUUAACAUGUUUCUCACCAUGUUCAGUCAUUUAUUCCUUUCAGCAAUACCAUUUUGUUGCGGUGUAUAAGGAGGUACAACUUCAUGUACAAUACCUUCUUGAUCAACAAACCUCUCAAAGUCUUUUGAGACAUAUUCGCCUCCACCAUCUAUUUUGAGCACUUUGAACUUAUGAUCCUUUUGCCUCUUAACCAUGGAUUUGAACUUCUUAAACACUUCAAAUACCUCAUCUUUUCUCUUUAUUAGGAAUGUCUAUAGCUUUAUACUAUGAUCAUCGAUGAAUAUGACAAAAUAUUUAUUGCCACCAAUGAAAUUUACUUGCAUCAGUCCACACACACCUGAAUACACCACCUCAAGGUGAUUCUUGGUUCUACAACAUGCACCCUUUUCUAAAUUUACCCUUAUGUAGCUCCUCUUUCACACAUUCUUCAUAAAUUUUAGUCGGCAUGCUGCUCAAGGGCAAUCUCGUUACCAUUAUGUUCUUUUGCAAGUCUUUGAGAUCUCGGAAAUUGAGAUGCCCAAUAUGAUAGUUCCACAUCCAUUCUUCUCGACUUACCUCUGUAGCAAGAGAUCUAUUCUCCAUAACCUUCACCUCAAUCUUGAAAGUUCUAUUGGCAUCCAUAAGAGCUUUAAGGACCAAAACCCUUUUUGCAACCAUAAUGUGUUGCCCCUUGUUUUCCAUGUGAAUCUUGUAACCCUUAUCAAGCAAUUGUACAAUAAUUUGAAGGUUACAUUUGAUUCCAGUAAUGUAUAAUACAUCUUUGAUAAAGGAAUUUCCAUCAUCCCUACUCAUGAUCAAAACAUCAUUGAUCCCAUCGACCGCUAUAAUGGUGUCAUCCGCGAACUUCACUUUGUUCUUCAUGGAACGAUUGAUUUUAACGAACCAAUCCUUCCUCCCCCUCAUAUGAUAUAAACACACGGAUCCAAAUACAAUUAUUGACUCAUUCUCUCACAGGCACCAUGACAUUUUCUUUUGCAUGUAAUCAGUUACAUCUUUCACGUAACCGGUUACAACCCGUUUUUGCAGCAUUCCCAGAAUUGUUGUUGCCUCGUAGCAUACUGUUGUUGCAUUCACCUUAUGUGAUAAUGAAUAAGAGUAUAUUCUCUUUAUCAAACUCUUGUCUUGCAACCUUGGCUUCAUCUCCUUGAGGUUCCUUCUUGUUCACAUUUCACUCUCUUACAAAAUGACCGAACUUUUGACACUUAAAGCACUGCUUAUUUGCUUUUGUCAAACCUCUUCUUUUCACCUUUAAAGUUUCCUUGACCACCAUUUUGUUAAAACUUAUCUCAAACCUUUGACAAGUCAAAUUCUUGAAACUUUGGGACUCUCUUCCACCAAAAAUUCCGAAAACUCCCUUUACUCUUCAUGGACCAUUUUUCUUUCGAUCUCUUAUCCUUCUCAUUGAAGCAAUCUUGCAAAGAGAUCUUCGCCUUAGUCUUAUCAUUAUUUCUAUCCUCAUUACUUUGCUCAUUAGCCUCAAGAGAUCUUUGUAACUCCUAUUUGCUAAUUUUUGCAAGAUCCUACGAUUCCUCAAUCACUACAACCAUGUUUUCAAAUCUUGGCAUUAAAGAACACAAGAUUUUCGCGACAACAUAUUGCUUCGUGACUGCUUCUCCACAUGCCUUCACUUGAUUCAUUAAUCGAGUAAUUCUUGUUGUGAAAUCGUUCUUUGUCUCUUUUUCUUCCAUUUGAAUCAAUUCAAGUUAACACUUGUAAGUUUGUAACUUCACCACCCUUCGUCUUGUCAGCCCAUGUGUAUGUCUUCUCUAAGACUUCCCACGCUUUCUUCAAUAAUUCGCAAUCAUCAACUUUCUUAAAUUUGUCACCAUUCGCACAUUGAUGGAUCAACAAUAGCGCCUUGAAAUCAUUCUUCUUAUCUUCUUUAUGCAUUGCUCUUUGUGCAUCUGUUGCACCUUCGACAAAGGGAUUCAUCCCGUUCUUGAUCACUUAAAAAAAAUCUUUGUAGCCAAAUAACACUUUCAUUUGUUUAUAAUAUUUGUCAUAAUUCUUCGCAUCAAGGAUAGGUAGGUUUGCAGAGAUUCUUUCAUUGGAAACAAAAAUCAUGUUACACACUAGAUAUUUGUGGAUUAGAACCAAACUCUUGAUGUCAAAUGUUAGAACUUGGAAUCACAAGAUUGGUGAAUAAUGGAGAAAAUUAGAGUAUGGAUAAGGAAAGAGGAAUAUAUAUAUAUAUAUAUAUUAUAGUAUAUAUAUAUCUAACGAAUAUAUAUAUAUUAAAUUAAAUAUAUUAUAUAUAAUAUAUAUUUUAUAUAUUAAUUAUAUAUAACAAUAAAUAUAUAAUAUAUUAUAUAUAUAUAUAUAUAUAUAUAAUAAUAUAUAUAUAUAUAUUAAUAUAUAUAUAUUUAUAUAUAUAUAUAUAAUAUAUAUAUAUAUAUAUUUAUAUAAUAUAUAUAUAUCUAUAUAUAUAAUAUAUAUAAUAUAUAUAUAUAUAUAUAUUAUAUAUAUAUAUAUAUAUAUAUAUAUAUAUAUAUAUAAAAUAAAUAAAUAAUAGAUAUAUUUAUUGGUGUAAGCCCUAGAGGCCAAUACUUUUGGUACUUGUAUCGAAUUAUUUAUUAAUACUAAAAGGCUUUCUUUAUUAUGUUGUUUAAUAAAGUCCCUAGAAUAGAUAGUCUGUUUAAUGUAUCAAGUGUGACUUAAUCAUGAGUCACAUUAAACAUAAGACAUUAUUCU
rnacentral:lncRNA from 1 species